UAAUGCACGUCGAGCGAUGAUUAAAGAUAGCUUGCUAUUUUUAUGAAGAGCGGCGAACGGGUGAGUAACGCGUGGGAAAUCUGCCGAGUAGCGGGGGACAACGUUUGGAAACGAACGCUAAUACCGCAUAACAAUGAGAAUCGCAUGAUUCUUAUUUAAAAGAAGCAAUUGCUUCACUACUUGAUGAUCCCGCGUUGUAUUAGCUAGUUGGUAGUGUAAAGGACUACCAAGGCGAUGAUACAUAGCCGACCUGAGAGGGUGAUCGGCCACACUGGGACUGAGACACGGCCCAGACUCCUACGGGAGGCAGCAGUAGGGAAUCUUCGGCAAUGGGGGCAACCCUGACCGAGCAACGCCGCGUGAGUGAAGAAGGUUUUCGGAUCGUAAAACUCUGUUGUUAGAGAAGAACGUUAAGUAGAGUGGAAAAUUACUUAAGUGACGGUAUCUAACCAGAAAGGGACGGCUAACUACGUGCCAGCAGCCGCGGUAAUACGUAGGUCCCAAGCGUUGUCCGGAUUUAUUGGGCGUAAAGCGAGCGCAGGUGGUUUCUUAAGUCUGAUGUAAAAGGCAGUGGCUCAACCAUUGUGUGCAUUGGAAACUGGGAGACUUGAGUGCAGGAGAGGAGAGUGGAAUUCCAUGUGUAGCGGUGAAAUGCGUAGAUAUAUGGAGGAACACCGGAGGCGAAAGCGGCUCUCUGGCCUGUAACUGACACUGAGGCUCGAAAG
rnacentral:rRNA from 1 species